rnacentral:rRNA from 1 species
AGAGUUUGAUCCUGGCUCAGAACGUACGCUGGCGGCACGCCUAAUACAUGCAAGUCGAACGAAGUAGCAAUACUUAGUGGCAGACGGGUGAGUAACAUGUGGGUAUCUUCCCUUUGGUGAGGAAUAACACGAGGAAACUUGUGCUAAUACCUCAUAAGUCUUUACGGAGAAAGCUUUAUGCGCCAUUGGAUGAGCCCGCACUUGAUUAGUUUGUUGGUGGGGUAAUGGCCUACCAAGACUUUGAUCAAUAGCUGAUUUGAGAGGAUGAUCAGCCACAUUGGGACUGAGACACGGCCCAAACUCCUACGGGAGGCAGCAGUAGGGAAUCUUGCACAAUGGAGGAAACUCUGAUGCAGCGAUGCCGCGUGAGUGAAGAAGGCCUUUGGGUUGUAAAGCUCUUUCGUCGGGGAAGAAAAUGACUGUACCCGAAUAAGAAGGUCCGGCUAACUUCGUGCCAGCAGCCGCGGUAAUACGAAGGGACCUAGCGUAGUUCGGAAUUACUGGGCUUAAAGAGUUCGUAGGUGGUUAAAAAAGUUGGUGGUGAAAGCCCAGAGCUUAACUCUGGAACUGCCAUCAAAACUUUUUAGCUAGAGUAUGAUAGAGGAAAGCAGAAUUUCUAGUGUAGAGGUGAAAUUCGUAGAUAUUAGAAAGAAUACCAAUUGCGAAGGCAGCUUUCUGGAUCAUUACUGACACUGAGGAACGAAAGCAUGGGUAGCGAAGAGGAUUAGAUACCCUCGUAGUCCAUGCCGUAAACGAUGUGUGUUAGAUGUUGGAAAUUUAUUUUCAGUAUCGCAGCGAAAGCGAUAAACACACCGCCUGGGGAGUACGACCGCAAGGUUAAAACUCAAAUGAAUUGACGGGGACCCGCACAAGUAGUGGAGCAUGUGGUUUAAUUCGAAGAUACGCGCAGAACCUUACCAACACUUGACAUGUUCGUCGCGACUCUAAGAGAUUAGAGUUUUCGGUUCGGCCGGACGAAACACAGGUGCUGCAUGGCUGUCGUCAGCUCGUGUCGUGAGAUGUUGGGUUAAGUCCCGCAACGAGCGCAACCCUCACUUUUAGUUGCCACCAUUUAGUUGGGCACUCUGAAAGAACUGCCAGUGAUAAGCUGGAGGAAGGUGGGGAUGACGUCAAGUCCUCAUGGCCCUUAUGUGUUGGGCUACACACGUGCUACAAUGGCAUUUACAAUAGGAAGCAAAACGGUGACGUUAAGCAAAUCCUAAAAAAAUGCCUCAGUUCGGAUUGUACUCUGCAACUCGAGUACAUGAAGCUGGAAUUACUAGUAAUCGCGGAUCAGCGCGCCGCGGUGAAUACGUUCCCGGGUCUUGUACACACCGCCCGUCACACCAUGGGAGUUGGUUCUACCUUAAGGCAAAGCUUAAAACCUUUGACCACGGUAUAGUCAGCGACUGGGGUGAAGUCGUAACAAGGUAACC